AGGAUUAUAGUUUAAUUAAAACAUUUGAUUUGCAUUCAAAAAAUAUUAAUAAAUUAUUAAUUUAUCUUA
rnacentral:tRNA from 1 species